GACGAACGCUGGCGGCGUGCUUAACACAUGCAAGUCGAACGCUGAAGCUCAGCUUUUGUUGGGUGGAUGAGUGGCGAACGGGUGAGUAACACGUGAGUAACCUGCCCCCUUCUUUGGGAUAACGCCCGGAAACGGGUGCUAAUACUGGAUAUUCACUGGUCUUCGCAUGGGGGUUGGUGGAAAGGGUUUUUCUGGUGGGGGAUGGGCUCGCGGCCUAUCAGCUUGUUGGUGGGGUGAUGGCCUACCAAGGCUUUGACGGGUAGCCGGCCUGAGAGGGUGACCGGUCACAUUGGGACUGAGAUACGGCCCAGACUCCUACGGGAGGCAGCAGAGGGGAAUAUUGCACAAUGGGCGCAAGCCUGAUGCAGCGACGCCGCGUGAGGGAUGGAGGCCUUCGGGUUGUGAACCUCUUUCGCUCAUGGUCAAGCCGCAACAAUGGUUGUGGUGAGGGUAGUGGGUAAAGAAGCGCCGGCUAACUACGUG
rnacentral:rRNA from 1 species